rnacentral:rRNA from 1 species
GACGAACGCUGGCGGCGUGCUUAACACAUGCAAGUCGAACGGAGUUAUGUUAAGGAAGUUUUCGGAUGGAAUUGAUAUAACUUAGUGGCGGACGGGUGAGUAACGCGUGAGGAACCUGGUUCAUACAGGGGGAUAACAUAGGGAAAGGGAUGCUAAUACCGCAUAACAUAUAUUUGGGGCAUCUCAGAUAUAUCAAAGAUUUAUCGCCUGAAGAUGGACUCGCGUCUGAUUAGAUAGUUGGUGGGGUAACGGCCUACCAAGUCGACGAUCAGUAGCCGAACUGAGAGGUUGAUCGGCCACAUUGGGACUGAGACACGGCCCAGACUCCUACGGGAGGCAGCAGUGGGGGAUAUUGCGCAAUGGGGGCAACCCUGACGCAGCAACGCCGCGUGAAGGAAGAAGGUUUUCGGAUCGUAAACUUCUUAAGUGGGAAGAUAGUGACGGUACCCACAGAAUAAGCCACGGCUAACUACGUG